CGGGGAUCGCACACCAGGACGUGGAAGCGGCGGUGGCGGUACUGGCACACACCACGGGGCUGCUCGGUGCUCUCCUGAGGCGGGAAACUCAGGAACCACAAAAAGCAGCAGUACAACCUUCCACAUCGAGGCAGCUGCCCAAAAGCAACCAAGGAAUCAACAUAAAUCACUGGUUGGGCGAGACACGCACAUUUGCAAAAGUGGAGCGACAAGAAAACAUCGCCAAGAACGGAAAGAGGAACAGAAAUUGUUUCUCUCCUCAUCCUUACAGCAACGUGAAAAACAGAUCCCACCGUGGUAGGUUUGUUAGCCCAGAGCGUGAGCCCGCCAGCAGCAGAGGAACAGCGAGAAUUGACAGUGGUAUCGGAACGAGCCGCCAGACCAGAAGAAAUCCUCCAUGCCAGCAAGAACAGUCCACGGUGAAGGGCAGCCGAAUCAAAUAAACACACAUGCCCACUCUAGGAAAGGCCAACUUUAAAAUCCUGCUCAUGCUCCGUUGAGAUCGUAUUUGUGCAGGGAGACCUCAAAAAUUUGAACUGCAACCUCCAAACAGUACCAUACAGUGUCCCUUCACAACCAACAUGGGAAGGCAGCUAUGCUGAAGUGUGAGUGGCAGAACUUUUGAAAAUGAACAUGAGUGUUAGGAGCAACAUUGGCAGUUGAAGCAGAGGAAGCACAUUUCAUGUUUGCCACUCUGUUAUGAACUCUUAAGUGUUGGACUGGGAAUAUUUUAUUAUUUAUUUGGACAACGGAAGAAGUGAAGCUAAGAAACAACUCGCUGUGUAGAUGACGCACUGUGCAUUCAAUACGCACGUAACCUGAACCAAGAAUGUGCGUGUCUUAAUUAGCUAGGAGGACACCAUACAAAGAGUUUGCAUCUUAUCACUUUCCUAUGUGCCUUUGAC